CACGUAGGGGGCGAGCGUUGUCCGGAUUUAUUGGGCGUAAAGAGCUCGUAGGCGGUUCGGCAAGUCGGGUGUGAAAUUUCGAGGCUCAACCUCGAAACGCCACUCGAUACUGCUGUGACUGGAGUCCGGUAGAGGAGUGCGGAAUUCCUGGUGUAGCGGUGAAAUGCGCAGAUAUCAGGAGGAACACCAACGGCGAAGGCAGCACUCUGAGCCGGUACUGACGCUGAGGAGCGAAAGCGUGGGGAGCAAACAGG
rnacentral:rRNA from 1 species